rnacentral:rRNA from 1 species
AAUCAACGCUGGCGGCGUGCCUCAGACAUGCAAGUCGAACGCGAAAGUCUCCUUCGGGGGACGAAGUAGAGUGGCGCACGGGUGAGUAACACGUAGGUAAUCUACCUUCGGAUGGGAAGUAACAACCGGAAACGGUUGCUAAUACCGCAUAAUGCAGCGGCACCUAAUGGUGACAGUUGUUAAAGCGGGGGAGUCAAAGACCUCGCGUCUGAAGAGGAGCCUGCGGCGGAUUAGCUAGNGGUUAAGGUAACGGCUUACCAAGGCGACGAUCCGUACGCCGGCCUGAGAGGGCGGUCGGCCACACUGACACUGACAUACGGGUCAGACUCCUAC